UUAUGGAAGAUCAAGGUCCCAGCUAAGAUUAAAGUUUUUCUUUGGUUAGUCUACAAAAAAAUUAUACAUACUAGAGACUCCUUAUUGAAGAGGGGGUGGAAAGGAGAAAGUAACUGUGUGUUUUGUGGGAAAGAUGAACCAGUUGAUCAUCUAUUUUUCACAUGUUCGGCUGCUUCUAUGAUGUGGAGUUUAAUCAAAUGUUCAUUUGGGCUGAGAAAAACUCCAUCAGCAGUCCAAGAAUGUUUUGGGGAAUGGUUAGACACAUUUAGGGCGAAUGAUAAGAAAAAGGUGUUAGUUGGGAUUGCUACAGUAUUUUGGGCUUUAUGGAAAUCUAGGAAUGGGAUCAUCUUUGAAAAAAAAAUCUCUGAUCCUAUGACUUUAAUUAAACUGAUGAGCCAUUGGAUGGUAGAUUGGUCAUUUUGCAGAUAA
rnacentral:rRNA from 1 species